UCCAGAUUUUGAGGAUGAAGAGGACGGGGAAGAAGAAGAAGAAGAAGGAGAGAUUUUAGCUCCUGUGCUGGAUUCUAGCUUCAAUGAAGAUGAUUUGUAUCCUUCUCCAAUUUUUGGCUGCUGAACAAUUUUUAACAUAGAACUGAAAAAAAUAAAAAUAAAAAAUUCUGUAGAUGAAAUAGUGAAAUUAUGUUGAUCUGCCACCCUGAAUGAUACCAAAAUCAAUUCACAUAUGAUUGUGUUUUACAUUUUUCAUCCAUUUGAUUUAUUUCUGUACUUUGUUUUCAGAAAUUCUAUAUUAAAGCUAUGAAAACUGAAAAGAUUAGAUGACGAUAUGAUAUUUUCAUCCCGUUUGAUUUUAUUGGUGUCUGUCCCUUAAUCUAGUUCUCUUCAUAUUUGAUGAAUCUAUGAGUUUGAAAUAACUUGGACUCUCAGAUGCUUGUAUGGCCACGUUGGCAUCUGGAGAUGAUUGCUGCAAGUUUCUCAUUUCCUGAGCAAUGGUUGAACAGGCAACAAGAGUUUAAGCAGCAGCAGCAACCUGUGGUAGACAGAAUAGUGGCAUUUGAGGGGAGGAAUUUAUUAUCUGAUGAGGCAAACAAGGAGAAUUUAGAGUCACCUGAACCUUCCAGCUCUCUUAUAAGGAUAUUGGAAACAGAAUUUGAAUGUCUUCUUGGCUACAUGAAGGGUCUAGUGACAUGGUAGGAAGAGAUAAAAGCGAUGGAAAGGGAGCAAAUCCGAGAAGGAAUUGAUGAGUUUGGAAUAUUGUAUUCUGAAUUAAGUAAUUCUAACCGAUCUGAAGGCAGUAAUGUUUCUUUUGCAUUCCCUGUGUUAAAAUUGGGAAUGGAUGGGAAGCCCUGUAAAGAUGCCUAAGUCAAAAGAUAUUUGUCAAAAGAAGCAAAAGAUCCAAUUUAUUCCAUUUCAGUGC